rnacentral:rRNA from 1 species
UACGUAGGGUGCAAGCGUUGUCCGGAAUUAUUGGGCGUAAAGAGCUCGUAGGCGGUCUGUCGCGUCGGCUGUGAAAUCCCGAGGCUCAACCUUGAGCUUGCAGUGGGUACGGGCAGACUAGAGUGUGGUAGGGGAGACUGGAAUUCCUGGUGUAGCGGUGAAAUGCGCAGAUAUCAGGAGGAACACCGAUGGCGAAGGCAGGUCUCUGGGCCACUACUGACGCUGAGAAGCGGAAAGCAUGGGGAGCGAACAGG